rnacentral:rRNA from 1 species
UACGUAGGGGGCAAGCGUUAUCCGGAAUUACUGGGUGUAAAGGGAGCGUAGACGGUAAUGUAAGUCUGGAGUGAAAGGCGGGGGCCCAACCCCCGGACUGCUCUGGAAACUAUGUUACUGGAGUGCAGGAGAGGUAAGCGGAAUUCCUGGUGUAGCGGUGAAAUGCGUAGAUAUCACGCAGAACUCCGAUCGCGAAGGCAGCCUACCGGCGCGCUACUGACGCUCAUGCACGAAAGCGUGGGUAUCGAACAGG